rnacentral:misc_RNA from 1 species
UAAUGAGGGCGCACCUGCGCGAAGCCCUGCUUGCCUCACUGCAGCGCGAUGUGGAGAAGCAUCAGCGAGUUGCCCAGCGAAAUGUGGCGCCGCCUGGCUUCGUGCUCAAGGUCCAUGGCGUGCAGCUGCAGUCAAGCGUUGCGGCGAAGGACCGCAAACGCCAUCGCGACAGAGCCGACCACACGCCUCCGCAACUAAGUGAAAACACCAUAUCGAAAGGCGAGGCGUGGACUUCCCUCGUGCUGGCUACACUGUCAUCAGUGCUGCAGCAACUCGAGAGCGACGCGCAGAAAAAGCAGAACGAGUCUGCAAAUGAAAGCGCAGCUCCGUCGGCAGUCUCCGUGCUGAGGUCCGUUGCUAGAGUAGAGAUGCGGCACUGCCGGCUGCAGGCACACCAUCUCUGCGCCGACGACCGCGGCGCAACAGACAGCGUAUCACUAGCUGACAUUCUCCUUUCCCCUCAGCGAUUAUGGAACUCAGCAGCACACACAGCGCCAUCGCCCGCAUACGUGCGCCUUGUGACCCUGGACCUUGAGUGCAACGAGCUGGGAGAUGCGGGAAUGCGGCUACUGUGCAGCGGUCUUCUCGUGCAUCUUCGUGGUCUUCGUCGUCUCCUGCUCGCAUCGAACAACAUCACCAUAGACGGACUGCUCUUCUUGGUGGACUCUGCUCGAUCACAUGAUGAGGGUCACCUGCCUCCGCACCUCGAGACGAUCGGCCUCAGCAACAAUCCACUGGGUACGCACGCACGCAGGACUGUACAUGGCCAACCCACCGAGAACGCCUUCUGCGACGCGUUCCGCACGCUGGCCUUGCGUCUUUCCUCGACGCUUCGACGAGUGCACCUCAAUCAUGCUAGUCUAAGCACGCGUGAGGUUUCGUCUGUGCUGCAAGCGCUGUUUGAGUGCGUUGUCCAGCAUUCAGGGCCGUGCGCGUUUGACAUAGUCUACCUGCGAGAAAAUGAGCGCGUCGACAAGGAGGAGGCGCUGCGCCUGCUACGCAGCAAGGUGGAGGACCUGGAAAAGCUCGACACCUUUUUGCGACGUCACGUGUCCAUGUGAGAACCCAGCAGAGCUCCCCCCCCACUCGCUCACCCAAGUCGCGAGAGAAGUUUCUGUGCGCGCGUGUGCGGCGGUGGUGCAGCAGAACAGAUGCGCGUCUCUUUCUCCCGCGAGCCUCAGAGUGCACCUUGUUUGUCUGCGAUGUGGAUCGCUUGACGGAUGUUUUUGUGCCGGCACAGAGUAGAAGGGGAACCGUAUUUUCGCGUGUGGGGGCGGAAGUGGGAUGAUCGACCUUCCCGCCCCGUCCACCGCCCGUCUUUUCCUCUCCCCCCUCACCCCGCUGUGUCUCAUCUUCUGCGCACGGAGAGACGCGAACGGU